rnacentral:rRNA from 1 species
AGCGAACGCUGGCGGCAGGCUUAACACAUGCAAGUCGAGCGGGCGUAGCAAUACGUCAGCGGCAGACGGGUGAGUAACGCGUGGGAACGUACCUUUUAGUUCGGAACAACACAGGGAAUCUUGUGCUAAUACCGGAUAAGCCCUUACGGGGAAAGAUUUAUCGCCGAAAGAUCGGCCCGCGUCUGAUUAGCUAGUUGGUGAGGUAACGGCCCACCAAGGCGACGAUCAGUAGCUGGUCUGAGAGGAUGAUCAGCCACAUUGGGACUGAGACACGGCCCAAACUCCUACGGGAGGCAGCAGUGGGGAAUAUUGGACAAUGGGGGCAACCCUGAUCCAGCCAUGCCGCGUGAGUGAUGAAGGCCCUAGGGUUGUAAAGCUCUUUUGUGCGGGAAGAUAAUGACGGUACCGCAAGAAUAAGCCCCGGCUAACUUCGUGCCAGCCGCCGCCGUAA